UAAAUGAAGACUAGAAUAAAAGAUUUAACAUUUUAAUAUAUUUAUUUUACUAAAACAUAUAACUUUUUUUUAAUGUAAAAAAACAUUAAUUUUAUAGAAAGACGACAAGACCCUAUUGAACUUAACUUUAGUUAAACUGGGGCAGUAAAUUAAUUAUAAUUUUAAUAUUUAUAUUAUUAUAAUAAUCCAAUUUAAAUGAAUUAUUCAGUUACCAUAGGGAUAACAGCGCAAUUAAUUUUUAAAGUUCUUAUAUAAAAAAUAGAUUACGACCUCGAUGUUGAAUUAAUAACCUAAUUUAAAGCAAUCUUUAAUAAAGGAAGUCUGUUCGACUUUUAAACAAUUACAUGAUUUGAGUUCAGACCGGUGUAAGCCAGGUCGGUUUCUAUCUUCUAAUUAAUUUUUACAGUACGAAAGGACCAAAAAAUUUAAAUAAUUUAAUAAUAUUGGCAGAAAAAUGCAUUAGAAUUAGAAUCUAAAUAAUCUUAU
rnacentral:rRNA from 1 species